AUGACUCCUACCCUCUGCACUGCUCUCUCGGCAAUUGGACCCUGGGAAGAUCACCUAUUCCUUCUGUUUCCAAAUCCAGCUGUAUGUCCUGAUCACUUUUGGAGUUGUUUAAAAAAAACGGGGAUUGGUCCCCCCUUCCAGGAACUCCAAAUAGUAGUUUACAAAACUGCCACAAGUGGCGGUGAUGUUCUAUGAAGACUGAGAGGCAAAGAUUUAACCCACCUGGCCUCACAUUCCUCAUCUGGAAAACAGCUGGCCCUGCUACCUCACUGGAUGUCGUUAAGAUAAAAUACGAUCAAGGGCAAAGUCUCUAGCAGAGGAAGGAGCGUAUGUGACUGUGUGGGGUAGGAUAAGACUCGAAGGCGACCAAAUGGACCCGCCAGAAGGAACAAACACACAAUUUUACAACCCGGAUGCUUCUCUUUGGCACAUACGUGACUCAUCAAAGUCCAAGAUUUGCAUAAGAUCUAAAUGUUUUCUGAACAAAUGAAUUCCUAUCUCACUUCUAUGCCUAUAAGCCCUCUACACUUCCCCUCUGCUAAACUUGGCUGACAGGCACCUAUGUCAGAUGAAAUCAUUUGAUAGUUAUUGGAAAGACAGAGUGGUUUGGGGAACAACCAUUCAUUCAUUCCUGGCUUUAUUUUUUCACUUGCUCAACUGGUCAUAAUUGGUCAUUGCAAUUUCAGAAAAGAUGAUACCUCUGGCUACUAAAUCCCUUCACUGUUUGUGCGUGCCCAUGCCCCGACCUCUGCACACUUUGUCCUAACAUAAUUCACUUGCAACCUUCUUGGGAGAACUAGUCCUGAGCUACUGUGCCCCACAGGCAGGAUGCACUCAGAGCCACCGCGCUGUGGGGGGGUGACAUAACCACCCUCUGACUAACAGAGGAGGACCAAAGGCCAGCUCACGUGCCUUGAGUUAGAACAAACUACACGGUGUCACUGACACUCCAGAGCUCCCCUGGGACCAGGCUGAGAACCAGACCUUACCUGAAAUGACAUCUUUGCUGGGCUUCCUCCUCUUCCUUAUCCUGCUUGUCUCACUCCCUUACUGCCAUCUCACAUAAGAUCUCCCUUGGCAGUCUUAUGCUCACAAGUCUUCAUCUGAGUCUUCCUCCUAAGAUCUUCAUGUGGCUCAGCUGUGGGAUUUAUGAUUUAAAAAUAACUUUUCAUUGGUGCGUGUACGGAUUACUGAG
rnacentral:lncRNA from 12 species